UUCAGGGCACCACAGUGCUGGAUCUGAAACAAAAGAUUGAAGCUCUCGAUGGAAUUCCAGUGUCACAACAGCGACUGAUCGUCGAAGGCCGGCAACUGAAGGACAACUUUCUACUAUCAUACUACGGAAUUCAAAAUGAAGCAACCAUUCACUUGGUGUUAAGAUUGAAGGGUGGAGCUGAGCCUGGGGGCCCGGGAGAUCCUGGACUGGGUGACAAGGAUGGGAAACACAGUAGUAAUGAAAGGCUCGCUGACUUUUAAAACCUUCCCUGGACAGAACUGUUUCCUGGAGACAUUUUAACACCAGAGCUUCACACAAGUGUCCAAACGAUUAUCCCAUAUCACACUCUGCUGGGAUUUUAGUGUAAAACCAAUAUUGGAUUAAUCAUAUAAUUGCAUAUGUCUUGUUAUGCGCCUGCUCUGUGUGUGGAUUGUUUAAAGUGUUUGAACAGGGAAAGUUAAUGGAUGUGUCUUGCACCUUGAUUUUUUUAGACAACUUUCAGGGAGUGGCUUAAAGUGCAAAUCACUGUCAUCACUACCUGUCCACUUCCUGUAGCAUAAGUGCUAAUGCUAACCUUGUUUUAAGUGUUAUGCAUCCAGGGAGCUGUUUCAUGAUAUCAAUGAUCAGGAAACACAUGAAAAGUGUUGACAGUUGUCAAAAGACUACAUUUGUGUCAUUAUUUGUUUUAUUUAGCUGUUGUUUAACCCAGUCCAACAUAUUCACUAAUGAGCAGCUGUUUGACAUCCAAUAUAAAAUCUACACUGACUGAUGAAGAAAAGCCUGAUUCAGUGAUGCAGUUGUUAAUGAUGAAGGAAGCAGCCUUCAGUGGCAACAUGUCAACUAAUGCAUUUUAAAACAUUGUGCAAAAACAGAUGUGUUUUAUGCUCACAAUAUAAAUGAACAAAUACACUUUUAUUAUAGUAAA